rnacentral:rRNA from 1 species
AUUGAACGCUGGCGGCAUGCUUUACACAUGCAAGUCGAACGGCAGCACGGGGGCAACCCUGGUGGCGAGUGGCGAACGGGUGAGUAAUAUAUCGGAACGUACCCGGAAAUGGGGGAUAACGUAGCGAAAGUUACGCUAAUACCGCAUAUGCCCUAAGGGGGAAAGCGGGGGAUUCGCAAGAACCUCGCGUUUUCGGAGCGGCCGAUAUCGGAUUAGCUAGUAGGUGAGGUAAAGGCUCACCUAGGCGACGAUCCGUAGCUGGUCUGAGAGGACGACCAGCCACACUGGAACUGAGACACGGUCCAGACUCCUACGGGAGGCAGCAGUGGGGAAUUUUGGGACAAUGGGCGCAAGCCUGAUCCAGCCAUGCCGCGUGAGUGAAGAAGGCCUUCGGG